CAAAAUAAAAUGGGGAAAAAAAGUCUUCUGCCCAUAUUAUCUCUUUGAAACAUUUGAAGAACAGAUUCAGAAUUUAUAUAAAGGAGGAAGAAAACAACACCACCACCAAAGGCUGCAGUACCAAGUAGAAGUAAAAUCUUAUUCCAUUAAAGGAAAAUCAUCAAGUGGAACUAAAAAUACAAAAUGAAAAAAAAGUGAUGUGAGCUGCCCUGGCAGACGGACAAGAAAGAAAGUGAAUACUAUUUCAGGUACCUUUA
rnacentral:lncRNA from 1 species